GGGUGCUUAGAGCUAAACUAAAGGGUGGGGUAUGUGCUCACACCACAGACCUGGCCAACUGGUGGUGUUUCCUGGCACACCCAUCCCUCAGAUUGAGGCUCUUUGUGAUGGGGCAGGACACCUGCAAGGUGGGACUCUGAGAGGAAGCCCAAGGCUGUGUGUUUCCUGCUGGGGAGGAACAGCACAACUGUUUUGAGUCAGCUACAGGCAGGGAGUUGCCUUUCUUCUCCGUUCAAGGCACCAGCAGCUGCUGCUCUGCUGCUUACAGUGCUCAUGGUCUUGCUAGUGAAAUCUCACCAGCAACUCCAGCCCACAAUGAGAAGCACUUGCUGCUCUUCCAGCUCUUUUGGCUGCAGACCUGAAACACACCUCACCUUGCUCCUUCAGACUCAUUUGUGAGGAAAAACUGUUCCUCUCCUGAGGCACCUGAGCGCACACCUGCAAUAGCCCCUGGAAUCUAGCUUCUGAUGGGGACGUUGAACAACUUGCUGAUAGAAGAAAAGGUGAAGGACAGAAGCACUGGAGGAAAUCACAGUCUCCUGCUGCCAGCUUUCUGGAUGACUGGUGGCACAAGAGCCAGUUCCUUAAAGCCAUGGAAUUCAGUCUUGCUGCUGUGCCCUAACCAAGUCCCCAAGUUACAGAAAUGAACUAUUCAGCUAUAGAGGCAGAGGAACUGAAAAAGUGCUCAUGUGUAAAACCAUGUCACAAAAUUUCUCACAACUAGACAUAUGCAAAUAAAAAUGUGAACGAAUAAAAAAAACA
rnacentral:lncRNA from 14 species